UACGGAGGGUGCGAGCGUUGUCCGGAAUCAUUGGGCGUAAAGGGCGCGUAGGUGGCCCGGUCAGUUCGUGGUGAAAGCGCGGGGCUCAACCCUGCGUCGGCCAUGAAUACUGCCGCGGCUGGAGCACUGUAGAGGCAAGCGGAAUUCCGGGUGUAGCGGUGGAAUGCGUAGAGAUCCGGAAGAACACCGGUGGCGAAGGCGGCCUGCUGGGCAGUUGCUGGACACUGAGGCGCGACAGCGUGGGGAGCAAACAGG
rnacentral:rRNA from 1 species